AGUGAACGCUGGCGGUAGGCCUAACACAUGCAAGUCGAACGGCAGCACAGUAAGAGCUUGCUCUUACGGGUGGCGAGUGGCGGACGGGUGAGGAAUACAUCGGAAUCUACUUUUUCGUGGGGGAUAACGUAGGGAAACUUACGCUAAUACCGCAUACGACCUACGGGUGAAAGCAGGGGAUCUUCGGACCUUGCGCGAUUGAAUGAGCCGAUGUCGGAUUAGCUAGUUGGCGGGGUAAAGGCCCACCAAGGCGACGAUCCGUAGCUGGUCUGAGAGGAUGAUCAGCCAAAAUGGAACUGAGAAACGGUCCAGACUCCUACGGGAGGCAGCAGUGGGGAAUAUUGGACAAUGGGCGCAAGCCUGAUCCAGCCAUACCGCGUGGGUGAAGAAGGCCUUCGGGUUGUAAAGCCCUUUUGUUGGGAAAGAAAAGCAGCAGGUUAAUACCCCGCUGUUCUGACGGUACCCAAAGAAUAAGCACCGGCUAACUUCGUG
rnacentral:rRNA from 1 species